rnacentral:rRNA from 1 species
AUUGAACGCUGGCGGCAGGCCUAACACAUGCAAGUCGAGCGAGCGGCGGACGGGUGAGUAAUGGCGGGGAGUCGCCAAGUCGAGGGGGAUAACAGUUGGGAACGCUUGAUAAUACCGAAUACGGAUGGAUUGCCCAGGAUGGACUAGCUAGUUGGGGAGGGAAUGGCUCACCAAGGCGACGAUCCCUGGCUGGUCUGAGAGGAUGCUCAGCCACACUGGAACUGAGACACGGCCCAGACUCCUACGGGAGGCAGCAGUGGGGAAUAUUGCACAAUGGGCGAAACCCUGAUGCAGCCAUGCCGCGUGUAUGAAGAAGGCCUUCGGGUUGUAAAGCACUUUCAGCGAGGAGGCGUUACUCGCAGAAGAAGCACCGGCUAACUCCGUGCCAGCAGCCGCGGUAAUAC